rnacentral:rRNA from 1 species
UACAGAGGUGGCAAGCGUUGUUCGGAAUUACUGGGCGUAAAGGGCGCGUAGGCGGUUUCGUAAGUCCUGUGUGAAAUCCCCCCGGCUCAACUGGGGGAACUGCACAGGAAACUGCGAGGCUUGAGUUCGGGAGAGGGAAGCGGAAUUCCGGGUGUAGCGGUGAAAUGCGCAGAUAUCAGGAGGAACACCGGGUGGCGAAGGCGGGUCUCUGGGCCGAAAUUGACGGCUGAGGAGCGAAAGCGUGGGGAGCAAACAGG